AUGAACUUAUAUAUUAGACCGACAUCUCUAAUCCACAGUCUUCUCUUAGAGGCAUUACAGAAUACUAUUCCUGCAUUUACUAAGGCACCAACCUUUUACAAGAUUUGCCACAUGACAGCUUUUCCAAUAAAAACAAGCUGUUUGGCUAAACCCAUAAACUCAUCAAGUUAUCAGUGUUCCCAGGGGCAGAAUUUAAGAAUAACACUAACAUAUACAAGUUAAGGAAUGUGGACAAAAUGACUUUUUACAGUCUUGGCAACAAAGAAGUCACCAGUACUUCCCAGCUAAAAUGCUACUAUUAUUGUGUUUCUGCCAACAAAAUUAAAUCAUAAUUCUGAUAAGGUAACUUGAUAUUUCAAACCCUCUAUAGUAUUUUCUUUAUCUUCCUGUUACUAUCAUACACUCCUUAUACCUGAGUUAUACUGAGUUACCUGAGUUCAACUCGCUUUAUCAUUUUCUUAAAACAUGUUCAUUCUUCCAUGCAUUUUCCCCCUCACAUUAUCAAACCAUAGGUCAUGUGAUACGUAUUUUAGCUUUAUUAUUUUUCUA
rnacentral:lncRNA from 1 species